GGGCCUGUAGCUCACUUGGACAGAGCAACUGCCUUCUAAGCAGUGGGUAGUGGGUUCGAUUCCCGCCAGGCCCGCCA
rnacentral:tRNA from 1 species